GUCUUGUAAUUGGAAUGAUGGGAAUUUAAACCUCUUCCAGAGUAUCAAUUGGAGGGCAAGUCUGGUGCCAGCAGCCGCGGUAAUUCCAGCUCCAAUAGCGUAUAUUAAAAUUGUUGCAGUUAAAAAGCUCGUAGUUGAAUUUUUGCUGCAUUGCUUGUGUCCCUCUGGGGUCUGUGCAUGUGGCUUUUUUCGGACGGAGUUUCUUUGUCUGAAUGUUUACUUUGAGAAAAUUAGAGUGCUCAAAGCAGGCUUUCGCCUUGAAUAGUUUAGCAUGGAAUAAUAAAGUAGGACUUUGGUUCUAUUUUGUUGGUUUUAGGUACCAAAGUAAUGGUUAAUAGGAACAGUUGGGGGCAUUCGUAUUUAACUGUCAGAGGUGAAAUUCUUAGAUUUGUUAAAGACGAACUACUGCGAAAGCAUUUGCCAAGGAUGUUUUCAUUAAUCAAGAACGAAAGUUAGGGGAUCGAAGACGAUCAGAUACCGUCGUAGUCCUAACCAUAAACUA
rnacentral:rRNA from 1 species